ACUUUGGAGAUAAUCGACCAAGAGGAAGAAAUCUCUGGAAAAAAAAUUGUGGCUAAAAUUUUAUCAAGAGGAAGGAUGCUGUAAGAAGUGCUGCAGCGCAUUGCAGCGCCUUGGAAUUUAAGUUUUGAGGCAUCCACCUUUUUUGAUCAAAUAGGACAAGUGGUUGGAAAUGGACGGUGGGGAAAUCUUCACAAUGUGUUUUGAAGCUUAGCCGUAUAUGAAUCUUGCAAGUUGUCAACUUGCACUAUUUUUUUUGUAUAUAAAUAAAGGAUGCAUUUGUGAAAGAAACACCAUAUUUUGAGGGUGGCUUUUAGACCCGUAAGAAUAAUUCUCAACACUUGGA